ACUAUAUUUUUAGGCUCUGCAUGUGUGGCUGCUGUGUCACAUGUGCUUCAGUAGGCAAAAGAGAGGACAGAGACUAUGUCUAGGAUCAGGGUUCUGACAUAUGAACAUCUGAAUGAUUUGUAGCCUAAAAUU